UACUCUACCAGAUGUUUCGUUUGCAAUAGCAAAGAAUCCUGCAAAAAGCCUCAAUUAUAUGAGUGUACUUCCGACUUGGCAAAUAAUACCCGGAUUUAUUUGCAACAAUUUCACACUGGUGUAAAUCCAAAUGCAACUUCUCACAUCUACGACUGUUUCCGAGAAUAUAUAAAAACUACAACUUCUGAGUAUUAUUACAAGAGUUGCGUGUAUACCAAUGUUGACCAUUGUAGAUUGCCUUUGUCACCUUACAUUUCAUCGACGACAAAGAAGAAUUUUUGUAAACAAUGCAGUAACGGAGAUGGUUGUAAUCCAGCUGGACGCGCCGAUAUUGGUUUAAUGACUGUUAUUGCCACAAUUACCUUAGGCUGUGUUGCACGUUAUGUGGGGCAUUAAAAAAUAAUUGAAGUGGUAAACUUACUUCAUGCUACAAUAAAAUAUUUAUGAAAUCCUAUCUUUGCUAGCCUCUAAUUCUAUUCCAUGUUUUAAGUUUAAUUUAUAAUCGAAAAUUAUUAAAUCUUUAAAUGGUAUAAAUAAAUGAAAACAUCUUAAAACAAUA